UUUAGUGAAGUGAAAGAGUCAAAGAGCUCAGAUUGUGUUCCUGCUGCACAAGAGCGUCUGUACUUCUGCAUCUGCAGUAUGGCAGAGGAGCGAGUAAAGGACUCUCUCUCAGAGAACCACAGUGUGAGAUCAGGAUCAUGUGUGUCCAGCUCUGUGUCUCUGAAGAGUGAGUUGUCUAAAGGUCAUCCUCCAGACCUCAGUGAGAAAACACCAUCAUCAGUCAAAAGGUUUUUCCGUUUAGGGAAGUCAAAACACCAUCCACCAAACCUCAGAGAGAAAACACCAUCUUCUGCCGAAAGUUUUGAAUACGAGUUACCAGAUUCAAGAAACAAUACUCACAGAAGGCAAAAGAGUUUCAGAGGCAAUCUCCUGAUGAUCUUCCAGAAUCUUGAGAGUAAAAUUAUCAAGUUUGUGAAGAAUGAACUGGAAAACUUUAAGAAAAUCUUACAAGAAGAAAACCAACACGAGUUUGUAAAGGAGUUUAAUGAGAACAGAUGCAGUAUCACAGAAGCAGCUCUUGAUCUCACACUCUUCUUCCUGAGAGAGAUGAAGCAAGAUCAAGCUGCUGAUACUCUCGAAGGUGAGCUGUUCUUCAUCAAUCAGCUUAAAUGUAGCCUGAAGAAGAAAUAUCAAAGUGUGUUUGAAGGAAUUGCUCAGCAAGGAGACUCCACACUUCUGAAUAACAUCUACACAGAUCUCUAUAUCACUCAGGGUGCGAGUGAACAGGUCAACACUGAACAUGAGAUCAGACAGAUUGAAGCUGCUUCCAGACGUCAUCAGUCACUAGAGAUACAGGUUGAAUGCAAACAUUUGUUUGAAGCACCUGAACAAGACGAGCAGAUCAGAACUGUCCUGACAAAAGGAGUUGCUGGCAUCGGGAAAUCAGUCUCUGUGCAAAAGUUUGUUCUGGAUUGGGCUGAAGGGAAAGAAAAUCAAGACAUCAGCUUCAUAUUUCCUCUUCCAUUCAGAGAGAUGAACUUAAAGGAGAAAGAAAGACAAAGUUUAAAAGACCUCUUAACUCAGUUUUUCCCAGAGACUAAAGGACUGAACCUUACAAGAAGCACACGAUUCAAAGUCCUGUUCAUCCUUGAUGGAUUGGAUGAAUGUCGUCUUCCUCUGAACUUUGCUGGUAAUGAGACGUGUCGUGAUGUAUCUUCAGCAGUCUCUCUGGAUGUUCUCCUGACGAACCUCAUCAAGGGAAAUCUGCUUCCUUCUGCUCUCAUCUGGAUCACCAGCAGACCAGCAGCUGCCAAUAAGAUUCCUGCUGACUGUAUCGACCGGCUGACAGAGAUACGAGGAUUCAAUGAUGCCCAAAAGGAGGAGUACUUCAGAAAGAGACUCACAGAUCAGAAUCAGGCCGGAGAAAUCAUUGAUCACAUUAAACAGUCAAAGAGUCUCUUUAUUAUGUGCCACAUCCCAGUCUUCUGCUGGAUUUCAGCCACUGUUCUCCAGAACAUUUUGAAGGAGAACAGAAAUACUGAACUGAAAGACAGGGCUAAUGCUGAAACACUGCAGGAAUCUCCCAAGACUCUGACACAGAUGUACACACACUUUCUCCGCUUUCAGAUCCAGCAGAGCAGAAGAAAGUAUGAUGGAGAAAACACAUCAGAUGUCUCCUGGGAUCCAAACCUCAUCCUUUCACUGGGGAAACUGGCCUUCCAGCAGCUGGAAAGAAACAAUGUAAUCUUCUAUGAGAGCGAUCUGAAAGACUGUGGCAUUGACGUCUAUAAGGCAUCAGUGUACUCAGGCAUGUGUACCCAGAUCUUUAAGGAGGAGACGGGAAUCAUUCUUGGUACCAUGUACUGCUUUCUUCACUUGAGCAUUCAGGAGUUCAUUGCAGCCCUUUAUCAACAUCUGUUUCUAGACCUCAACAAGAAACCUUUACCUAUUUUUAGAAAGAAAAGCAAAACUAAAUGUAUGAUUGAUUUGCUGAAGACUGCAGUGGACAAGGCUCUGGAAAGUGAGAAUGGACAUCUGGACCUUUACCUUCGCUUCCUUCUCGGUCUGUCACUCCAGUCCAAUCGACAACUCUUACGAGGCCUGUUGACACAGCAGGAUGACAGAGACCAGAGCAAAGAGGAAAUAAUCGCAUACAUCAAGCAGAAACUUGAAGGAAAUCUGUCUCCAGAGAGAUCCAUCAAUCUGUUCUACUGUCUGAAUGAACUGAAUGAUCAAACUCUGCUGAAAGAGAUUCAGUCUCACCUCAGUAGAGGAAGUCUGUCAUCUGCUGACCUUUCACCUGCCCAGUGGUCUGCUCUGGUCUUUGUGUUGUUGACCUCAGAGGAGGAGCUGGAGGAGUUUGAGCUUCAGAAAUUCCAGAGAUCAGACGAGUGUCUCAUCAGACUAUCAGCAGUCAUCAAAUCCUCCAAAAGAGCUCAGCUACAGGGCUGUAAUCUCACUAUUCGGUCUUGUGAGAGUUUGUCUUCAGUUCUACAAUCCUCAAACUGUGUCCUGAGAGAGCUGGACCUGAGUAACAAUGACCUGCAGGAUUCAGGAGUGAAGCUUCUCUCUGAUGGACUGAAGAGUCAACACUGUAAACUGGAGACACUGAGAUUGGUCACAUGUAAACUCACUGUUCAGUGCUGUGAGAGUUUGUCUUCAGCUCUACAAUCCUCAAACUGUGUCCUGAGAGAGCUGGACCUGAGUAACAAUGACCUGCAGGAUUCAGGAGUGAAGCUUCUCUCUGAUGGACUGAAGAGUCAACACUGUAAACUGGAGACACUGAGAUUGGUCACAUGUAAACUCACUGUUCAGUGCUGUGAGAGUUUGUCUUCAGCUCUACAAUCCUCAAACUGUGUCCUGAGAGAGCUGGACCUGAGUAACAAUGACCUGCAGGAUUCAGGAGUGAAGCUUCUCUCUGAUGGACUGAAGAGUCAACACUGUAAACUGGAGACACUGAGGUUGUCUGGCUGUAUGGUGACAGAGGAAGGCUGUGGUUUUCUGUCUUCAGCUCUGACUUCAAACCACUCACACCUGAGAGAGCUGGAUCUGAGCUACAAUCAUCCAGGAGAUUCAGGAGUCAAGCUGCUCUCUGAACAACUGGAGGAUCCAAACUACACACUGGACAAACUCAAUCUGGAUCAUGGAGGAGAGACGAGGAUUACAGCAGGACCACGCAAAUAUGUCUGUUUCCUCACACUGGAUCCAAACACAGCACACACUCGUCUCAUUCUGUCUGAGGAGAACAGAGAGGUGAAGUGUGUGGAAGAGGAUCAGCCGUAUCCUGAUCAUCCAGACAGAUUUGAUUAUUAUCCUCAGGUGUUGUGCAGAGAAAGUGUGUGUGGACGCUGUUACUGGAAGACUGACUGGUGUGGAAAUCGUGGUGUGUGUAUAUCAGUGUCAUAUACGAGCAUCAGGAGGAAGGGACGAGGUGAUGAGUGUGUGUUUGGAUCUAAUGCUCAGUCCUGGAGUUUGUUCUGCUCUUCCUCCAGUGUUUCAUUCUGGCACAAUAACACACACACUCGUCUCCCAGUGAAGCGGCUCAGCAGGAGAAUAGGAGUGUUUGUAGAUCACAGUGCAGGAACUCUGAUCUUCUACAACAUCUAUAGAGACACAGUGAGCCUCAUCCACUCAGUCCAGACCACAUUCACUGAGCCGCUCUGGCCUGGGUUUAGGAUUUAUUCUGGAUCUUCAGUGAAACUGCGAUGAAGACUGACGAGAGAUUUACCCACAAUCCUCUGCAGGAGCAGUCAGCAGCUAUGCUACAUCACUACUACACCAACAUACUGCGUACAUCUGAAGUGUGGGCCUAGAGUAGAACAAGUGACUGGUGGGAGAACACCGCUCAAAAGUACACAGAUGACCAGUGGCUGGAGGACUUCAGAGUCUCUAGAGAAACGUUCAGAUACAUUUGUACAACGCUUAAGCCCUCACUACAGGGACUAGACACGUCAUUCAGAUUGUGCAUUCCUCUGGCAAAACGUGUAGCCAUUGCACUCUAUAAACUAGCAUCAACAACUGAGUAUAGAACAGUAGCUAACCUGUUUGCUGUCAGUCGGACCUCGGUGUGUCGCUGUGUGCAUGACUUUUGUAAGGCUGUGAUUGCUGUGCUUCGACCCAAGCUCAUAAACACCCCUGACCAAGCUAAAAUGGCAGAGAUUGCUGAUUAUUUUGAGGACAAAUUUGGAAUUCCACAAUGUGUUGGUGCUAUUGACGGUUCACACAUUCCCAUGCUGAAACCUCCACAAUACCAGUCAGAUUUCACAAUAGAAAAGGCUGGCAUUCCAUAAUUUUACAAGCAGUUGUGGAUGGUAAAGGCCUUUUUUGGGACCUUAAUGUAGGACAGCCUGGUAGAGAACAUGAUGCCAGCGUCCUGAAAAAAUCAUGCCUUUGGACCUGGGCAACAUCCACCACAGCUUUUCCCGGCAGAGUAAAGAACAUAUGCGGAACUGAUGUAGGCUAUUUCAUUCUUGGCGACUCUGCAUAUCCACUGUAGAAAUGGUUGUUAAAACCAUAUCCAGACACCGGCAGGCUCACAGAGGCUCAAGAACUUUACAACAUGAGAACAAGUCGAGCCCGCUGUGUGGUUGAGCAUGCAUUUGGGCGCUUGAAAGGCAGGUGGAAAUGUCUUAGUAAAAGAAAUUACUGCAAUGUAAAUGUUGUUGUUGAUAUGGUUGAGACAUGCUGUACACUGCAUAACUUGUGUGAAUUACACAUGGACUGGUUUGUGCCAGAAUGGUCCUCUGAUGGUGCUGUUGCAGAUGUUGAAAGACCAGAUUAUCUUGGUAAUGACACUUCAGAUGCAAGAACUGCUCUGCAACAGUAUUUCAUGCAGCAACAAUAAUUGUAACAUUGUUUUUUUGUUGAGAAAUAAAAUACUGAAAACUACA